CCCUUAGAUGUUCUGGGCCGCACGCGCGCUACACUGAUGCAUUCAACGAGUCUAAAACCUGGUCUGAUAGGGCUGGGUAAUCUUUUGAAUGUGCAUCGUGAUUGGGAUAGAUGAUUGCAAUUCUUCAUCUUCAACGAGGAAUGCCUAGUAAACGCAAGUCAUCAGCUUGCAUUGAUUACGUCCCUGCCCUUUGUACACACCGCCCGCCGCUCCUACCGAUUGAAUGUUCCGAUGAAUACCAUGGACUGAGAGUAUGAAUGGGUUCGCCUAUUUCUGCUUCUCGGGAAGUGGAGUAAAUCUUAACAUUUAGAGGAAGGAGAAGUCGUAACA
rnacentral:rRNA from 1 species